GGUUGUAAGCUGUAACCGGCAGGCCAGUCAGUGAUGCCCAAAGAAACCAGGUACUAUACAUAUAUUAACCGGCACAGAUGAAAUAUUAACAUGUCCAGAACUAGCAUCCGAUUAGCUUACGAAUUGCUCACCAGUUUGGCUCAACCGUUCCAUUCUUUUCUUUUUUUUCUUUCCCCCUAAUCGUACAUAGGGAGAAAUAAAAAGAAAUUAACGCGUUUUCUACGGCAGAACUACGCGUAGGUGAGAGUAGUAUAGUACCGACCAUUCUCUAAGCUUUUGUGCUACGAACAGAGCUACUCUUGGUGGAAGUGGAACUUCGAAAGAGUAACUUGUAGCACAAGUGGCGCUUAAUAAAAGGGAACAAGUCGUCUCAUCGACGAUCGACGUGGUAAUCGAAGUGGUAAAUUUCAACUUCAAGGUUACUAGCUUCACCGGAGCAUUCUUCCUCGGGGGAACAUUUUCUAGCAAAUAGGUCGCCGACUAUCGGUUUGCAGGACGCGUGAAACAGUUUGACGAAGGAUAAGUCGAUAGAGAGGCAGCGACUCGACGUCGCAUCGUCAAACAGCAAAGAGCAGAGAUUUCGUCGAAGGCAUCUGACCACGGAGCAGGAAAAGCAGCGACGUCUUUCGGGCGGGCUGAAGGGAACAAAGCAUCGGAGCCAGAAGGGAUGACCGCGUUGUCGCUGUAUCUUCUGCCGAAAACCAGUCGCCGUUCCCGGGAUGCCGUGGGUGAUUUUAAUUCACGAACAUCGAGCCGUGAAUAAUUCAGAACGACGAAGACGCUGCUUUCGCGUGCUGCCGGAAAAUCCGUAGCGAAUGCAAUCACCGACGAAAGCUCGCUUUAUUCUUUCUUUCUCGCUUUAUCUCGUGCCAGCUUGCGCCAGCAGCGAUCGUUGCCCGAGCAAACCUUCGAGGCGGCCAGAAUCCUCGCGAUACUUCUUGUUAAGAAUCACCUUUCGAUGGAUCUUUUUUGUCGGCGUAAAUAUCGUUAAACAUUUGGCUACGAAAGCUGUGCACUACCCCGAGGAAACAGUUUCACGGCAGUUCGAGCGCUAUGUCGCUCGUUUUCCUUCUAUUCGGCUUUCUGUAAUAUACAGCGUGUCUGCGAAAUCCCGGUACAAGCGGUCGGCUGGUGAUUGCACGUGGAAAAGCAAGCGGAGGAAAAGGAACGACAUUUUCUCGUCUAGGGUUUCGCUAGAUUUUGAUUCGCGAUCGCCGACGACGAGAAUCGGUCGGCUGCAUGUCGCCCACCUUGCGCAAAUUGAUACUCGUCGAUUAUGGUUCGAAUCGGACAACACCUGACAACAGAAGGUUCCUCGUUGUCGGUUCAACGAGCACGCGGCUUCGGCAUUUAACCGUAAGCGAAGAAAGAUUCCGCGUCGAUAGCAGAGGGGCCGUAGAAUCAUCGAAAUAUCGUAAAACAGAGGAUUUAUUCGGUUUGGAGAACAGGUUUUUCCAUCGGCCGGAAAAAUCAAGUUCCGCCCUAUCUGCAGGGUCUUUCCUCAUAGGUAAUUACCGAUACAGUCGUAUAAAUAAGCGAGUAUCCGAUCACCGAUACCCCGCGGUCGGUGAUCCGGCUAUGCCGAAGAUAACCGAGAUCGAGCCGAGAAAUUCGUUGUGUGUGGCUGUUGCACAAAAGCGAACAAGCCGAAGGAUCGAGUCGACGUACAGGAUGGAAGUAUUUUAUUAGCGCCAGGUAACGAUUAGUUGACUAGCUCGGAGACAGAAAUAAAUGCCGCGAUCGCCACGAAUCGCGCACCGUAAACUCUUCUGAAAUAUCACUCGUCUGAUAUCUGCAUUAUGCAUCGGAUAGAUAUACAGGGUGUAUCGUAACGCGUGGAAUCCGCGUCGUGAGAACGCGUGUCCUGCCUGACCUUCUUUCCAAGUUACAGCCAUUUUCGCGUUCCAGUAAUCUGCGACUGCUCGCAUAAACGCGUUAAGAACUUGCACAGAGAAGAGAGCAAGCAAACUGUAUAGGUUUAAAUAUAGCUCUUACCUACGGAACAACCCUGGCACGAGUAAGACCAUCGAGUAAACGUCGAGGGUGUUACAUAUUUUAUUAACGACAAUGCAAGUUGCAAACUGUGCAACUGGAACAAAGCGGAGACAUUGAAACAUACCGUGGUCAAUUCUCGACAAAGUACGAAUAUUACAAGUAUCUUUUCUUUUCGAGAAGAAAAGCCAAUAAAGGAUACAUACACGCGUAUAAAAUCGUGCGUGGGAUUAAGAUCUUUCUGCGUGAAAGAAUGAACAGGAAAAUAAGCCAGGCAACGCAAUAGAAGCAAACCGAACGAGGCUAAUCCGGCGAAGUAGGUAACAACAAGAGACUACAGCUUUAACGAAACAGUUUAUCCCCUGUAUAAACCUAAAACACGAUGUAUUUGUACCGUAAGUUUGUAUAUAAAUAUUACUACUAUUAUUAACCCAUAAGUUCUUAUCUUUGUAGCAGGUGUUCGAAAUGGCCACCUUCGAAGUCUGUUUACAAACUUGCUAUCGUCGCGUGAACAGAGUAAACAAAGUACCACGAUGUACGAAUGAAGAAUUACGUCAAACACGUCACAGAAAGAAAGCAGAAUGGGUCGAACGCUUGCCGAGGAACUGCCCGUGAAUGGAACGUAAAUAAAAACAGUAGGCAAAUUAGGGAGGCGAACAGAACGCGCUACUUCGUACAGAGUGUACAGUAGAGGUACAGUAUACAUCAACGCCGUAUGAAACAGAGAUGCAAUGUUGCUUGUACAUUUUUGCGACGUUAUUAAAUAGUUUCUUACUUUUA